CGGACGGGACCGCAGAGUCUGCCCCCGGUAUUCAGCUCGUCCCCUCCGUCGGCCGCGUCCGUCGCCAAACGACACCCUCUGAGCGGGUGCCAUGGCGGGCGUGAGCGCGGCGGGGGACGCGUGCACUUUCCGGGGUGCGGUGCGUCACGACCGGUUCGGCGGAGGUCAGAAGGCCGGCGGGAUGGUGGCCAGUCGUUCGCGUCUGGUGGUAUAGCCCGCCUGCGUCGCAGGCCCUCUGCUGGACCGAGGAGGAUCCGCGUCUGCCUUAGGGCGCGGGGCCCGGGGCCUCCCGUGCUGCCUCCGUGCCGGGACUGCUCUCGCAGUGCCGUGCGCUGUUCGGCGGUCGGGACGGACUCCGCUCCCCCCGUAACGGCGUCUAGGGUCGGUGGCGAUAUUGUCGGCAACCCGUCCGACCCGUCU
rnacentral:rRNA from 1 species